rnacentral:lncRNA from 1 species
CUAUUGGCAGAAACAAGAAGCCAAGCAGGUGCUUCCUUGAAUUGGGGUCCAUCUGCCUCCAGCCUAGCCCUGCAUUCCUCAGGGUCUCAUCGUCCCUCUCACUUCCAGGUAGGCUACUUUGUCUGGUUUUGGUGGGAACUCAUCUCUCUCCUAUCCCCAAACCCGUGACAUGGCGGCUGUGUUUGCCACUUGUCUCUGCUGCUCAUCCCCUCGCCCACAUGGCCCAGAAAGAUUUUCCCUUCAGUGGGGUGGAGCUGUUGAAAUAGAUUUUAAAAUAUGGGUUGUAUUUUCAUUUUUGGUUCCUUGCUAAAUUUGGUCACAAUCAUGUCUUUCUGGUUCUAAAACAAGAGAAAGGAAGCUGUGGGCAGCUUUCAGUGAAGGGCAGGAGAGAGAGAGAGAAAGCACUUGUUUUUCUCUGCUGACUCUUGCUUCCUUCGUGAGUGCCCAAUUGCCCCCCUCUAUGUCUCCCUGGCCUUGAAACUUCAUGUAAUGCAGAGUAUCUUAGGGGGCCAAGGCUACCAGCCCCCUAAGAGUGCCAGACCAGGUGCCCUGUGGGAACACACAAUGCAGAUACUGCUCCACUCUGGAGCACAAUCCACUUGGACCCAGUUAAUUUGAUUCCAGAUGGACAUAGAGAGGAGAUAGGAGUAACUUGGAGGAAGGGAGGAUCUUGCUUUCAUUGUAAGACAGGUGGCAUCUGUGCCACCUUGAAAGGCCAAAUAAGCCACAGACAGGUAGGAGAAGGCUGAAGGAGGGCAGCAAGCCAGGCCUGGUGUGCAGUGUGUUCCUGGAUAUGGGUAGGGGGGUUGGGGAGGGGUGGCCACACCCUAGAUAGUCCCCAUUUCUGUUUCAUCUGGAGGCAAAGUGGGGUCUUCACAGUGAGGACAAGGCCACAGCUGGCCAGGAAUCCGUUUCCUCCCUUGCAUCAUCCUUCCUCAAUUGUCCAGCCCCCAAGGGGGAGAUGCACAAGGCUGAGAUUCGAUCACACUGUGUGGUUUGGCUUCUGUUCCUAACCCUGAACUGAACCUCCCCUGCCAAGGUCAAGGAGCUCUCAUUUGCUAAAUCCCUUGGAAAGUUUUCUUCCUCAUGUUCCUGCACUUCCCUGCUACAUUUGGUCUUGUCUAUUCCUAUCCCUUUUGAAAUUCGCUUGUUGCCACAAGUCUUGGUCCCCAUCCACCCCCAAAGCAGUUCUCAAUCCCUUCUGUGGGCUUCCUCUGAACAUUCUUGAGCUACAUUUCCAGGACCUGACUCGAGUCUCAGCACCAACGUGUUCUUGCAGGGCUACACAAAUGUAGGUGUGGCUUUGAUACCAACAGUUACCUGUGUCUACCAGGUGUGGUUUUGAUACCUAUAUAUAUCAGGUAGGAAUCACAUUCAGCUACAAGUAUCAGAAGCCUGGAAAGCAGUGGAUGAAUCCAACUGGAGGUUUUCUUUUUCUUAGGUAAGAGGAAGUUAUCUUAAUUCAUGUACAAUAUCAAUAGGUAAAUAAACUUGUACUCCAUGGUGGCAGAGGAGAAGGAUGCAGAUUUGCUGAGUAAUAAUCCACAUUAUUUUUAAAAUUAAUUUUAUUGGUACAUUUUAUGUAUACAAUAUAAUGACAUUCAUCAUUGGAAAUUUGCACCUUUACAUAAUCUCUCUUGAUUCUUAUUUUUCCCCCUCUCCCUGCCCACCCUUCAACCCCUCCAUCCCUCUCUAUUUAUAAAGACUUUGUUUCCAUUUUUUCAUUUUGUCAUAUUAAUUCCAUUCCCUUCUUUCCUUUCUCCUUCCCCUCCCACUUCCCCUACCCCCUUUCUUUCUAUUUCACAUUGUCUAUUAUACCUUUUAGUCCUUAUUUACACUUUCAGUUUCUCACACUAGAGAAACUAUUCAGUAUUUACACAUAUGUGUCAUCCAUUUACCUAUAAAUGUCUCUAAUUUCUCAUUUUUUAUGGCUGAAUAGUACUCCAUUUUAUUAAAAAACCACAUAUUCUUUAUCUAGUUUCCAGUUGAUGGGCAAUUGGGCUGCUUCCAAGUUUUAGCUAUUACAAAUUGUGCUGCUAUGAACUUGGGUGCACAUAUAUCACUGUGCUAUGAUUCUUUUAAUUCUUUGGGGAAGAUCCCCAGCAGUGGAAUAGUGGGGUCAAAUGGGACUUCCAGUCCUAGUUCUUUGAGGUAUCUCCAUACUGAUUUCCACAGUGGUUGCACCAGCCUAUGACUCCCACCAGCAGUGGAGCAGGGUUCCUCUUUCCCCACACCCCUGCCAGCAUUUGUUAUUGGUUGAUUUCAUGAUAGCAGCCAUUCUUUCUUGAGUGAAGUGGAAUCUCAGCGUUGUUUUCACUUGCAUCUCUUGAAUGACCAGUGAUGUUGAACAUUCUUUCAUGUAUUUAUUUGCUAUUUCUACUUCUUUUUCUGAGAAAUGUCUGUUCAUUUCAGAUACUCAUUUUUGGAUUGGGUCUUUAAAUUUGGGAGGUCUGAUUUUUUUAAGUUCUUUAUAGAUUCAAGAUAGUAGACCUUUGUCUGAGGAACGGGAGGUGAAAAUUUUUUCCCACAUUGUGGGUUGUCUCUUCACACUGCUGGUGGUUUCUCUUGCUGUGCAGAAGCUUUUUAAUAAGAAGAGAUCUCACUUGUUGAUUGUUUGUGCUAGUUCACGGGCAACUGGGGUUUUGUUCAUAAAAUCUUUUCCUACAUCGAUGUCUUCAAGAGUUCUACCUAACCUCUGUUCCAGCUGGUUCAGCGUUUUUUUUUUUAAUAUUUAGAUCUUUAAUCCAUUUAUAUUUUAGUUUAAUGCAUGGUGAGAGAUAUGGGUCUAGUUUUAAUCUUUGGCAAGUUGAAACCCAAUUUUUCCAGCACCAUUUAUUAAAGAGGCUAUCUUUCCUCCAGUGAGGGUGUUUGGCUCCUUUGUCGAAGAUGAGAUGGCUAUGUGUCUGGUGUUGUUUCUGCAUCUUCGAAUCUGUUCCACUGAUCCUUGGGUCUGUUUCUUUGCCAGUACCAUGCUGUUUUUAUCACAGUAGCUUUGUGGUAUAGUUUCAAGUUGGGGGUUGUAAUACUCCCUGCCAUGUCACUGUUGCCUAGAAUUGCAUUUACUAUUCUAGGUCUCUUCUUGUUCCAAAUGAAUUUUUGGAUUGUUUUCUCAAGGUCUGUGAAGUAUGCUGCUGGAAGUUCAAUUGGGAUUGCAUUGAAUCUAUACAGCAGUUUUAAAUCCAAUUCAAACUGGAUUAAAUGAAAAUAGAAUUAAUUGGCACGAAGAAGAAGAAGAAGGCAAGAGCUUCAAGCACAGCUGGAUCCAGGAUUCCAAUAAUAUCCCAGGGCACAAGAUAAGCCACAAAUACUGUCCAGGUCCCUCUGUGUGUCCAGCACUGAGCCACACAUAUCCAUGGUCAUCUCCCUGAGUCCCCACAAAAGGUCUCACACUCAUCCACAUGGAAACUGAGGUCCAGAGAGAAGUGAGAACAUGCUCAAGGCCACUGAUGGCUGGGACCAGGACUCAGGUACAAGCCCCACGCCAAGACUAUAAUUCACAGCUCACCUUGCACCAGAGGAGGACCUGAAAGGUGAGAGGAGAUCUGGAAGGUGAAGGGAAGCAACAUACAGAUGUUCCUGGAUUUGUGAUGUGGCUUCAUCUUCCAUAUCCAGCCCUCUGUCUGGCACUGUGGAUCCCCAGAUGAUUAAGGCAUGGCAUCUGCUGUGAGAGACAGACAGACAGACAGACAGACAGAUAGGCAGAGAAGAGGAUAAACAACUGCUCUCCCAGUCCAGGUUACAAGAUCACUUUGAAGGUGUUCACAGGGUGAUGGGUGACCCAAAGGAACAGCCAUGACUGUUGUUUGGGAAGCCGUGAGGGAGGAGCAUGGGGCUGCAGUUUGAGUUGGUCCAUGAGGGUGAGUAAAAGUUCUCCAGAGAGAGAUGAUAAGGCAGGGCACUCCAAGUAGAGGAAUUGCUCUACUCUGCUUGCUCAAACCUCAGCACUGUGCAGGAGAUUGUGUGGGGAGCUGAGGGCUCUGUGUGGUGGGUACCCUAUGUGUGGGCCAUCAUGGUCAUGUGGGCUGGGAAAUGGGUUAGGGACUUGCUUUGCUGCAACGUGGCCUGCCAGAGGUCACCUCUCUUCUGAGGAGGGCUGAGCAAGGAAGAGACAACUGCUUUGUGAACACUUUGUGUAUUUAUUUCCUCUGUUUUCCUCACAUCUCUCUUCUUCUCCCCUGAAGAGCUGCCUCCUGGUUUCAUUUAUUUUCCACAGGAAACUGAAAAGAGCAACAUCUGUCUAAAUUCCCCCUAAGUUGCUCCAGAUUUCCAAGGUCAGAGUGUGGCCCCUAAGAGGCAGGGUCUCUGUGGGGUCAGAGGUGAUGGCCCCAGAAUUGGUGGGUUUGUGCCGAGUCCAGUGUGAUGGCAGGGUCUGGUGCAAGCUCCCUGCACAAUACAGAUGUUCAGCAAGAAUUUUGCUGGGAGCAUAAUCAGCGGCUGCGGCGUCCCCUGGAGAGGAGAGUGCAGGCCUGGUUCCCACGGGCUCCUUCCCAGUGCUCAAAUGUUCCUGAGUUCAUGUUCCUGGGAGAGGGGGCGGCCAAGCGAGUGCUCCAAGUCCCUGGCAGCUGCUCCUGCUGGGGAAGCCGAUCACCACUCUCCUCAUAUGGCCUUGGGACAUUGGACGUUGUUUGGUGCACAGAUGCACAAUCAUGGCAUUUGUUCAGGGAGCACUUUCUCUCCUGCCACAUUAUGGGAGGCAGCUUGGAGCUGAUCUAGGGAUUGGGUUCUGGUCCUUGGGAAAGUGGCUCCUUCUCUUUGAGGCUCAGUUUCCUCAUCUGUAAAACAAAGUGCCCCAGCCUAGGUGGCUCUGGGGGUGUGUGCAGACUGGGUGUGGACUUCAGAGUCAUGCAGAUGAAGCUGUGGUCCUCCCUGUGCUAUUUGGCUGUGUGUUCCUGUACAGGUCCCUGACAUUGUGGGCCACCAUGUCCUCAUCUGUGCCAAAUGGCCUCUGGCUUUGUGGACCCAGUGAUGACAGGAGCACCCACCCUCCAUGAGGAUGCUGAGGAAAAGGGUCUAUUUCCUCAUCUUGGGCAAAACAGCUUUAAGUCUGUGCCUGUGGGAACUAAGCAGAGUCAGUGCAAAAGAACUGGUCUUUGUCCCCCUAUCCACCCCCUGCCCCAAGUCUCCCCAGAACAACAGAAUAUUCUUCCUAAGCAAGACUGGUUGGCUCCUGAGAGUGUCCUCAGAAGCUGUGGAGUCCUGCCACCUGCUUCCCACCAUGUCUGUCCUCUCACUCUGGCAGUGUUCAGACCCUGAAUGGUCCCAGCCUGGCCUGCUCUGGUGCCUCCAGAGCCUGUCUUCUUCCCCAGUCCCGAACCAGGGAAAAGCAAGUGCUGUUUGUACAGAUGGUGUCAGCCUUCCUGUCCUGCUUGGAGGAUACCACCCCUCCCCAUGCUGAGCCUCCACAGGGAGGUUCCCAGGUCUGGAACACUUCUACCUCCUUCCAGCCUUCUGCUGUCUCCUCCUCUUUAAAAUGGGCCUGAGCAUCCCUGUUGUUCUGAGACAGGCUGGCACUUGCAGACAUCCUGUUGGUCCCCCUCAUCUCUCACAGUGCCUGGCUCUUUCUCUUCAGAGAAUCAUCAUGUUUGUACCCACAGUGGAUCUUGCGCUUAUUCCUUUGACUACUGACUCAAAAAUAUGUUAUAUAUGCGAGAAGGGCAGGGGUCACACUGGUUUCCUGUAUCCCCAUUGCUUUGUGUAUUGCCUGGUAAAUAGUUUCGAUGAAUAACUGUUGAACCUGUGAGAGAAGGACUCCCUCAGAGAAUCUAGAAUUUGGUGGCAAACAACCCCAGCAGGAAGGGAGGCACCCCAAAGCUUGUAUGGCACGUAGUCUUUGGUGCCAGCAUCUUGGGACCCGAUUCUGCCCUCACCCUCCAGGUUCUGGAAGGAUGAGCCAUUUUCCCCACAGCCCUGGGAGGAGAGUUUCCUCAGAAAGAGAGGAUGGACAUCGAGCUUCAAGUGUUUCUGGGAGGCUAAGGAAGAGGCAGACUGAGACGCAUCUGUGAGACUCAGUGCAGGGAGGUUAUGGUGACCUUGAUAAACAGUUUCAAAGGACUGAGGAUCAGAAAUCAGGCUGCAGGGGAGUGAGCAGGAGGCCAGGAAGUGGAGACUAUGAGUCUGAUAACUAUUUCUAGUUACUAGACCAAAAAUGGGAGGAGAGAUGACAGUAGCUGUUUCUGACCAAGCUGGAUCACAUCAAAACUAAUUGGGAAAUUUUCUGAAUAAUAAAAAUGAUUCAUGUACUAGAUGGCUAGAAGGAUAAGAUGCCUCAGCUUCUCAUCUUAAUUCUCACUGAAAACUAGGAUAUCAGAGUUGAAAGGACCUCAAAGGCCACAGGAUUCCAACACAGCCCUCUCAUUCAGUAUAGGAGAGGCCUGAGGCUCAGAGAGGGGCAGGGACCUGCCCAAGGUCACACACAGCAGAUAAAGGACAGAGCCUGCUGGAACUGAGGCCCCUGUAUGCCCAACCCAGGACUCUUUUUCCAUAUUCCACAUCUUUUUUUCCCCUCUGUCCUUUCUAAACAGCCUUUAUUGGCUCCAGGAAAUGGAAAGGAUAAUUAUUUUUAGUUUAUUCAAAAUGAAUAAAAUGGGUAAUGGGUUUUUCUUUCCCAUAUAUCAGAUCCAAAGUGAGUCUUAUGUAAGAGCUGAGUGGAUGAGAAACGGUUUCACAGUGAGAACAAUGAUUCUUUUGAAUAUUACAAGCUCCAGGGUGAACCCCAAAUUAGCCUGAUGAUUGGGUUCAGCUCUCCUCCCCCAACUGACGGAAAAGACAGGGUAGAGUCACAUGCAUGUGUAUGUGUGUGAGUGAGGGGCAGGGAGGGGAGAGAGAGAGAGAGACAGAGAGAGACAGAGAACAUAUGUUCAGAGCAGGCUCUCUGCAGAGUGUUUCCCAGAGCACCAGGACAAAUGCCCUGACCCUGAACCUCCUCAGUGCUGAUUGUGAUUAUUAUUAUUAAUGGCAGUGAAUUGCAUAUAAGAUUUACCAUUAUAAUACUUUCUAAGUGCACACAUGGUUUUGUAGUUUUAAGCAUAUUCACAUUGUUGUGAAAUCAUCACCACCACCAUCUUCAGAACUCUUUUCAUCUUAUAGAACUGAAACUCUGAACCCAUUGAAUAAUAACUCCCUCUUCCCCCCAGCCCACUGCCACUUCUCUGGUUCCUGUCUCUAUGACUCUGAUUACUCAAGGUAACUCGUGUAAGUGAAAUCACAUAGAAUUUGUCCUUUCAUGACUGACAUGUCUCAUUUUCCAGACUUCUUUGAAUGUACUCCCCGUGUGCCCCACCUCACCAUUAGGAAUCCCCUGCUGAAGAGAGGCAGGCAUCCCUGGGAAGAAAGCACAUCAUGCUUUACUGAUACUUUUUCUUUAAUGCCAACUAGUAGAUGAUUUCUUGAGAGCAGGUUUUAAUGGAGUAUGGGUGACUAUAUUGAAAGCCUUGAUUGACUACGAGUAGGAAGAGGGAGAGAUAUUCAUAAUGGGAAAAAAAUCAUCAGGUUUGAAAAAAAUAUGGCUGGGGGCUGGGGAUUUAGCUCAGUGGUUCUGCCGCCUGCCUCGAAAGCACAAGGAGUGGACUUUGAUCCCCAGUACCAAAAAAUAUAUAUAUAUAUGGCUGGGAUCAUUACAAGUGACUCUGUGGUACAGCAAUUAGUUUUAUAACAGUCAUUUCCUAAAUUUAUGUCUUUGGGUCUAUUGACCUCAUAUCUUUCUCUGACUUAAUCCUUGGGGAGUUAUAACUGAGAUGCUCUCAAGAAACCUAGUGAUACUCAUAAAUAAUGAUCUUGUACUUGGGCUUCCUUCUACAAUUUAGGAGACUCUUUUAUUUCUAUUAUUUUAUUUGAUCCAAAUGACAAGAGUAGAUGGUAGUUAGAUAGGACUUAUCUCCAUUUUUCAGGAGGGGAAACAGGUUUAGCGGGCUGACAGGACCUGCUCAGGAUUAUAAAAAUCACUUACUGGUAAUGCUGGAUGGUGAACCCAAGUCUUUAGACCCAGGAUCUUUCUCAGCUCCAUAUUUUGCUAGCAUUUAUUAACUUAAAAUGCCUAAGGGUGUCAUGUAAUUGCACAUGUCUGGUUCUCUCCCACCACCUCCCUCUUAACUUCAGACCCAGUCCUUCUCCAAGAAUGAUGUGUCAUCAACCAGAUGCUCAAAUUAGAAAGUCCAGAGUUGUCCUUGACAUUUCCUUCUCCUGUUCCACAGCCAGUCUUCAAUCAAGUCCUGUGGUUUGUAAUUCCUAACUGUGCUUCAGUAUGCCCACUUCUCUGCAAUUCUGGGCCACCAGAGUGCAUGCCUCUGUCUCUUAUCUGGAGAUGAAGCUUCAUAUGGCUGUGAUGUCUAUUUCUUUGUUCUUUUCUUCUUCAGUGAUUUCUCAGGAAAUGUGAAUUUGAAUGACAUGGUGUUAAACAAGCUUUUGUGGUGUAGGAUUUCUCAGAGCCUUUUGCACACUAACAAUGAGCAGGAUGACUUGCCAACAUGGGGGAGUGUAUUUGGCAUGUCCCAAACUUAGGUGAUCAGUGUUGCACCUUGUUCUUUCUACCCAUCUGGUCUCUACAUGGACCUCUACUAACUGCAAGGCCCAUUAUGCUGCUUUCCCUCAUCCAUCCCUCCUGUCAUACUGGCCUUUUGAUUUCUCUGAGUGUCCUAGGAGGCUCCACUGGUGCCCUCCAGGUCCCCUUUGCUAAACUGGUGCACCCCCAUCCCUGGCCACAAGAGCUGCUGGCAGCUCACACUUCUGAGGAGCCACCUCACUAAAGAAUCCACAGCCCCCCACAGUCCAGAAGCAUCUUAUAAGCAAGUCUGACCUGGUGAAUGGGUUCACAGAGGGCCAUCCCACCCUUGCCUCCAGCAUAGAAAUCUGCUGUGCAAUUUGUGUCACCAAGCUACUGUACAGAGCAACAGGAUCAGACUGUCUUGGAGAUAACAUCCUUGUCCAACCCUCUCCUCUUCACUUCCUUGCCUUCCCCACUCCCUAGAGGUUUUUCCUAAAAGACACUUCCUGUCCCAGCAUCUGCUUUUCAGAAGCUCUACCUAGGAUAGGCGCCACACUCCUUAGCCACUGUAAGGGUCUCUUUUCAUGGUGUCAGACACCUUUGACUUCUCUCCUAAAGUAGGUCCUGUCUAUCACAGCAUGGGCUCUGUUUGUAAGAGUGCCCUCAUAUGAAUGACUAAGGUCUUCUCUCCAACCAAUAACUCCAGGAGGACCACCAUGUCUUUCUGUCCACUGCUCCAUCCCCCAUGCCUGAUAAGGAUUUAAGAUGUGUCGAAUCAAAGAGAGAAAACACCAUAGAUAUAUAGAAUGCAAAUGAAAAAAAUCUGUCAAAUAUGGCAGGCAGCAAGUUAAUAUCUAGAAUAUAUUAAAAGCAUUGGCAAACAAGAAGAGGCAAACAUGUUAAUGUAGAAAAGUAUAUGAGCAGACACAUCUCACAUGCACAUUCACACAUACACACCCACAAAUGGAGAUGAUCUCUAAACCUUUGGGAAAGUUUGUUUAUCAAAGAAUAGCAAAUUAAAACAAUAGCAAAAGAACUUUUCUUUUUUGACUGUUGCAUUGCCAAAGAUUUGUGUUUAUGAAAAGAUCAUCAUGGUGGAGGUAAAGAGCUAGUCAGGUGUUCUCAGAUGUAACUGGUGGCAGGAUAUGUUGGUACUGCCAUCAGAACAUGGUUCCCAGGGCAGAGUUUGUUUCUUUAUCCACCAGGUCCUCCAGUGCCCAGAACCCAGGGCUCUCCUGCACUCAAUUAACAUUUCUUGAACAAAUGGAAGGCAAGUUGUCAAUAUAGACAAUGAAACGCAAGUCUUUUAUAUCCCCCCAUCUGGUAACUCUACUUCCUAAAGAAACCCUUAGAAAUUAGAACAAAGGAUAUCGCUCACAUUCAUUUAUAAGCUCAGACACCUGGAAACAGGUUGUUUUCCACAGGCUGGCUACUAGUUUACUUAUGGUGUAUCCAUAUUAAGAAAUACAGCUGAUUAAAAUUAUAUAUCUGGAGAAUGUUAGAUUAUGUUAUUGAUAAAUACUGAAUAAAAAGAAUUUAAGACCCUAUAUACAGUAUAACCUCAAUCUUUGUGAGAAAAACAAUUUUUAAUGAUGAGUUGAAGGAGUUUUUCUGUGGUUUUUAUUUAUUUGUUUAUUUAUUUACUUUUGCUUUCCUCUUAUUUUCCAAAAUUUGAACAGUGAAUAUGUAUUACUUUUGUAGCCAAGGGGCAAAGCGGGGAGAAAGCUUUGAGAAAGAAAGUAUGGUUAAUGACAAAAUUUCAACCAGCCAGGAAAAGUGGUAAUGACUUAUAAUAGUGUUUUUCCUAUUAAUGCAUCAUAAUAGAUCAUUUCAUGGUGGGUAAGGAACAUUCCCCCUUAUUAAAUUGGCCUGACUUUAUUUAGACAACAAUGAGGAUUAAAUUUUGUGCCAUUGGAGACACUCUUGUUUUCGUGUUCUUAGUGUAUAUUUUUCCAUGACCUGGAAAAUCUUAAAAUACCGGCUCUACUUAAAAAAAAAUUUCACAACUCCUUUGACUGGAAUUGAUUUCUCCUGUGACUCUCAGGUCUGUAAAAGGCAUUAAGGUGAGACUUAGCAUUGACCUUUAUUCUUUGCCUGGAGUAGAGAAUUUCCCUAUGGCUGGCUCAGGAUUUCCAAGAGGAAGACAACUGAAUGACCUAGCACAAUUGCCUUGGUCCUCAGCUCUGGGCUUAUCUUGAUUAGGAGGAAGUGGAUGUCUCGUUCCAAAUUUAGAGCAUAGAAUAGAGCCAGAUGUUUGAGAUCAUCACAAACAUUGACCCAUUGGAACUUCUGCCCCACUCACCACUUCAUGGAUAUUUACUUCAUGGAUACCUGGUUUUGUUCACCUUGACAGAGUGAAGAGACCUUUGGGUUCUCUUCCCAGGAAUUCUGUCCUAGCCUCAACAUGCAUAAAAAAGUUCAUUUCCCUUCUGAGUAUUGAAAGGAGGCCCAACACACACCUCUUGGAACACUUGUUGGCUUCUACCAAAGUGUCCAUCCCCUCCAAGUGUAAGCCUAGGAUCUUGAGGCUGGUAGUCAAAGUCAAGGCCCUUUAGGAUCCCUCCCCUUUCUCCUACCCCAUGGUUUAUUCCACUACACAAAACAGCAGCACUUAAAGGAACUACAAACUUUCCUGUGUCUCCAGGGUACUCCUGGCAAGCCUUCUGAUUAUUAGUGUGCCUUUGAUCAUGGUUAGUCAUUAUAGAAAUGUCUCCAAGUAGUAGACUUGAAAGCAGGUUUUAUACCUGACUCGUUUCCUUGUCCCAAGGUCCAGCACAGGGCCAACUAUACUGUAGAUAUUUGGGAAGUGCUUGCUGAUUGAAUGAAUGAAUUUGAGAGCAUUGACAAUGAUAGGGAGUUGGGGGUUUCCUUUUCUGCCAUACUACAUAAUUUAUGAGACCAUACACUUUGCCGAUAAUUGGGUUCCUCUUGCUAGUUCCAUCUGCAGCCAUGAACGAGGCUACAUUUCUUCAUGGAUCAAGUGCCCACUUGAGGGGCCUAUCCUGCAUAGUCUUCAAUUUGUAAUAUUGUCAGAAGCGUCCUGAAAGGGUAAGGGCCUUGCCCUGGUGCUUGUCUUUUCCAUUUGUUUCCAUUUGCUUUUCACUGUGUGGGAGAUUAUUUAAUUGAAAGUGGAGUCUCUGAGGCCAGUGUUGCAACAGAAAUAAUUGAAUGUAAAACCACAUGUGCUUUUGGGACUGGGACACAGAAAUUUAAUUUUAGUUUCGUCACUGCUUUGUAGGGUGAUCUAGGGAUGUCGCCUCUCUGGAACUCAUCCAUGAAAUCCUGACUGUACGAGGUGGAAGUUGGAGUAGUUAGAUUGCUUAAUCUCCAAGGCUCCUUCCUGCUCUGAUAUACCUUGUCUAUAUUUCCACAAUAUCAGAUUGAUGGAGGGCUGACUAGCUUGGUGUUGCUGGAAAGCGAUGUGGAUGGAGUUCUGGGAGAGGAUCCCAGUCCGUGUGAGCUCAAGGUCAUCAUUUAGAAACCAAAAGCUCAAAAAUGCUCUGAAACCACAGAUGGCCAAAUCCUCCCACCAGAGGUUCAGUACAUUUUUGCUCAAAAUUGUAAACUAAAAGCAGAAGUUUUGGGGUUGUUGGCAGGAUUCAUGGCUAGCUCUAACCUGGGUGGUGGGUAUAGGGGUGGCUUAUUCAAGGGUAAGGCCUUGUCUGAGAGCCACAUCACUGAGUGAGAGGCAUGUCCUUGGCGAGCCCACCCUGGCCAUCAUGAUGUAAAUAUCCCUUGGGUGGGUCCUGCUCAGGUACUGUGUCUUAAUGACACUCUAAAACAGUUCUUUAAACUCACCACAUUAUAGACAAUGGCAGUCUAUUGAAGGGAGCUGAAACUCACUCCCAGUAGUGACUUGCAGCCUACACUUUCUGAAAAAAUUCAGACAUAACUCAAUACUUAAGUUUCAUCCUUUUAAGGUAAAUAAUUCUAUGCUAUGAAUGGUUUCUAGUAUAUUCACAAAGUUUUACAAUCUUACACUCUCAAAUUCCUGAGUAUUUUCAUCACUCCCCCAAAAAAUCCCCUAUACAUUGUCAGUCACUUCCUGUUGUACACUGCCCCUCAUCCCACCCCAGGGCCACUAAUCUACUUUCUGUCUCUGUGGAUUUGAUUUUUCUGGAGUUUUCAUAUAAAUGGAGUUUACAACACGUGGCUUAUUAGAUCUGGCUUCUUUCACUUGGAACAAUGCUUUCAAGAUUCAUCUAUAUAUUUUUGAACAGUUAAAAAUUAUGAGUGUGUGUGUGUGUGUGUGUGUGUAUCUGCGUGUAUCUGCCUUCAAGCAGCAUACAGGCAAAACCACUGUGAGCUUGGUGGGAUCUAUGGACCCCUCCUUAGCAGAACAGAUGGAGGACUAGCUGGCCUGUUCCAGAUCUUCUCUAUUUCAUUAUCCCAGUUCAGUUUUGGUCUUUUAAGAAUUACACAUAGGGCCGGGGAUUUAGCUCAGUGGUUCCACCGCCUGCCUCACAAGCACAAGGUCCCGAGUUUGAUCCCCAGUGCCAAAAAAAAAAAAAAGAAAAAAAGAAUUAUGCAGACAUUUUAAAUUAAGAAUUAAAUCCAUUGAUAUUUCCAUUUUUAUUCCAUCUAUGCUGGCAGAUUUAAAAGUCUUUUCCCAGCCCAAGAUGACUUAAACACAUAUAUAUUAUUUUCUUGUCAUACCUGUUUUCACUUCUUACUUUUAUAGUUUUAAUUUAUCUGUAAGUUUUGAAUAGUGUGAGGUAAGGACUUUAUUUUAUUUUCCUCAUAUUGUUAGCAAGUCGAAUCACCCUAUAUCUUUUAAAAUUGAUUUAGAAACAAUAGUAUUAGUAUUGCUACUUUUUAUAUGCUGGCCUUUCUUUUCUGUACUAACCUGCUCUUUUUUCAGCUGCUAGCAUACUUAUAAAUUUCUUGCUGUUUAUGACACAAUUCAAUAUUGUUAGGAUGAGUUCAUAUUAUCACUCAUUUUUUAAAAAUCCCUGGUUAUUAUCAAAUGUAUGUUAUUUAAUUUGCUUUAUUUGUUAGUGUGAUGUGUUUAUUUUAUGUAACAUGUAUUGCUACAUUAAGUAAGAAUUUUUAAUUCUGCUUGGGCUAAUGGAAGCCAGUGGCUGUAUGACACGUCACAGAUAAAGUUAGUAGAAUAUAUGUGGACUGAUCAUAGAUGGAAAGGAUGGGAGGACCAAGAAAGGCCAGGUGUGGUCCUGCACACCUGUAAUCCCAGCACUCAGGAGGCUGAGGCAGGAGGAUCACCAUGAGUUUGAGGCCAGACUGGGCUACACAGUGAGUUCAAGGCCAGCUUGAACUCCAAGCUGGUUUUUUGAGGCUCUGUCUCAAAAAACCAAAAGAAAAAAAGGAAAGUACUAAAGAUAUGUAAGCCUUGAGACACUGAAUAUUUGUGACAGCUACAGCAUCCAUAGAUCAGCUCUGGCUGCCACCACAGAUCCUAAGGACGAGCACCACCUCUGUGAUGCUCUGUGAUGUGCCAGAGAACCACAAAGCCCUAGAAUCUGACAUCUUGAGGAGAUGCCACAAGCCCAGGCCCCCUGCUCCAACUGGGCAAGACUAGAAUGAAACUGAACAAGACCCUAACUAAUAUCAUACGCAUGCCAUUUUUUGUAUUUGGUUGACUGAGUCAGAAUUUGCAGGUUAAUAGUGUUGACGAGAGCGAACAUCCUUCUGGUUACUAAUGACAAUGGGAAUGCUGCCCAUAUCUCACAUUCGGCUUCCUGCUGGACUUGGCUUUACAUACAGUACAUUUGUCACUUUAAAAAAAUGUAUUCUUUUUUCCUCUUCUCUUGAUGGUGAUGAUGGAAUGUUGCAUUUCCUCAGAUGAUUUUUGUCAUCCAUCGAAAACAAUUAUAUGGUACUUCUCCUUUGGCAUACUCACAUGAUGAAUUAUAUUAAAGUUGAAACAUAUGUGCAACUUCAGUUUUGUUUUCCAUCUUUCUCUUCUUCACACAGAAGCUUCAUUGUGGUCCUGGGCUCUCUUCAACUCUCCUUUCAUCCUUUUAUCUCUUUGGCCUGUUAUUCUGAGUUCUGGGAGAUUUCUUUACAUUUGUCUUCUGACUUCUUGUUCCUCAAAGUCUGGACCUGGGACAGGCAGUCUCGACAGCAUCUGGAAGUUUGUUAGACAUGAAAAUUCUUGGGUCACACCCCAGACCUGCUGAGCCUGCAUCUGGAUUCUAAUGAGAUUCCCAGGUGACCAUCAGGUGACCUGGGUACACAGUGAGCUGGGAGGUGAGUGAGAGUCUGAUGGAAGAGGAGGCCCUUCCAGUCCCAGUGGUGAUGCAGAGCCUCCCACUAUUAUAGCAGUUGGAUUAUUCUAGUGGAAAAUUGGGAGGAGAUGCAGUUCAGCAGAAGGUUUUGAACCCCCAUCCAGGAAUGGAACCCACAUGCUCUUUGUGGCAGGACACCAGGGUGGGCAGCUGGUGCAGUGUGUGAUGAAAUCAAAUGAAAAAGACAGCCCAAAGUUUAUCAAAAUCUUCACAGGUGGCAUUAGUCCGACAAGAAAUAAUCCCUGUGUUACAUUUCUGAAGGGCCGUCUAUAUCCCCCCCAUGGGCCUCACCCAUACUCAUUUCUUUGACAGAUUUACAAAUGUCAAUUGCAUUUGUAUGAAAGCCUCUUGUCCUGAGCAGAUAGAGAGGACCAAAGAGAUUCUGAUAGAGCUGUUUGGUGUCAGAAGAAACUGGUGAGGUCGCUGAGAUGGAUGUGCUUCUUUUUCCCAGACCUGUGCCUGGGCUAAGAGAGGUAGUCAAGGGCCCGGAUUCCAUGAGCCAUUGCAUAUGGAGAGAUGCCAUCUUUUGCUGCAAUUUUUACUUUUUAUUAGUACACACUGGGAGGACGUAAUAAUCAUUCCUCGUGUGGAGGUGGUGCAGGUGCAUAACACGAUUCAGUUCUUUCUUCAGCCCCUUCCUCCCUCUCUGCCCCUUCUUCCAUCUCUUGGUCUCCUUCCCAUUGGCAAGUUUCUCUCUCUAUUUCCUAUGGUCUAUUUUUUAUUUUGCUCUUUAUUUAAAUUUGGGUUUCUCAUAUAAAAAUCAUGCGAUAUUUAAGCUCGUGUGUCUUGAUUUGUUUCACUUAAUAGUAUGGUCUCAAGGUGCAUCCACUUUCCUGCAGAUGACUCAGGUUUAGCCUUCUUAUACAAAAUGGAGAUGUGGGGCCCAGGGUUUAGCUCAGUGGUUCUGCUGCCUGCCUCACAGUGCAAGGUCCUGAGUACGUCCCUGUACCCCCCCCCCCCAAAAUGGAGAUGCAGUCUUUUAGGGAAAAAAUCAAAUUGGAUAUAUCCAGCUCUCAUCAGUUGUGGCAGGAAAACAAUCUUGGGAAGGCACAAAAAGCUACAGAAGUGAUUCUAAAGAGAAAAAGAAUCUGUAGGAUAAAUUGGCUUGUUCUUUGUUUAUUGCUACCAAACCCUUUACUCCCGGAGGAAUGUUGAAACAAUACCAAUGCAGAGCUCUUUUUAUGGAACUGGAAAACAUCCUACUUUUUAAAAUGGUUUCGUGAAGUUGUUGUCUCAACAGGAAAUUCUGGCCAUUGUCACACAUUCUUUUUGUUUAUUAUUAGUAAUAAUAACCCUUUGCAUCUUGUCAGGCUCUAAAUCUUAACAGCCUUUCCACACAAAGCAGGCAAGCUCCUUCCUGACAAUGACACGAGUGUAGCAGGGCAAGCAGCAUUAAUGUGCCCAUUUCAUGGGCACAGUAUGCAGUCAAUGACCGCUGUAAGCUCAGACUUGUGUUUUCUCCCUGUAGGAGAGAUUUCUGUUAAACACACUUGGCCACGUAUCUUUAAUCCUUAAUCUUUUCACUCCAGUUAUCUGGCCUUUCUGCAGUGCCUGUGCCCAGAUCAAACAGUAAGCAGGGUCAUAACCCACAUGUAAAGAUGGCUCUCUGAAGUUUUAUGCCAAACACAAUGUGUGACUUUGGUAGUGUCCCUUUCUUCAGAUUAAAGUGGUCACUCAUCUCAGGCUCCCUGUACCCUGGCUGUGUAAAUCUGCUCCUAUGAAUCACACACCUUCAUUAAGCUUCUGCGAAGGAUCUACUGAAGCCCCCAUUAGGCAUGAUUCAUUAUAGAUCAGGAAGAACUGUUUAUGUUUGUUAUUUCCUAAGUUUGAUUUAUCUCACUUAUGGGGUGGAGGAAAGGCACUUUAUUCUGCUUUCUGUGCUUCUACUCCUUAUAUUUCCACACCAAACACCCCAAAUUUCCCCUUUUGUUCCCUUUAUUCUCCCAGCGCAAUGUAUAUGUUCUCUCUACCUAGAAUACCUUUGCCUUCUUCAUCUUCACCACCUUCUUCACCCUUCUUAUCCUUAAAGAAAUCCAGCUCCAAAGAGAGUCCUCUGUGAAGCCUUUCAGACUCAAUGUUACAAAUACUUGUUUUCCUAAAAGCAAGCUGAAUACAUCUCUGCCAUACCAUGAUCCUAUCACAGUGAGAAACCCGUUUCAUGUAGCUCCAUAUGUACUUGGAGUUUCCACUAGAUUGGGAACUACUUUGGGGCAGGAAUAACACCUUAUUCCUCUUUACAGCCCCUGAGCUUGAGACCUUGCAACUGACGAAAAUUCUCUAAGGGUUGAUCUAAGUUCCACUCCUGGGUAGUUUUAGUGCAUCAGUAUUUUUUGUUUUACAACUAGAUAUCACUUUAGUUUCUCAGAUUAGUUGAUGGGAAAGUCUUGUAGGGGACUAUUCACUAAACUUAGCUCCUUGAUUUAUCAUAGAUGCUGUUCCUUUAUGUCUCUCUGGUUGGAUCCCUUUUGGUGUACAGCUCCUUUGUUAACAUUCUUCAUGACUUUGUCCAGAACUAUCACAUCUGGAGGGAUUCUGAAUUUUCUUUGCUACUAGGGUAUUUUUUUUCUCCCAGCUUCUUCACAUUUCAGCAGUUAAUAUUCAAUAGUUCUCAACCUUGGCUGUAUAUUGGUGUUACUUAGGAAGCUUUAAAAAUACUUAUUUGAAAUUUACACGGAGUAUCUUUAUGUCUUUCAUGGAAUAUUAAGCUGCAUACUCACAGGGUAAGAUUCUGAGAGAUUUGGCAAGGAACAGCUAUAGGAAGACAGCAAACCUAAGAGAUUUUGUAGUCUCACAGGGAUGACAAAUGUUGGAAGUGUGACUAGCCAUAUUAGGUACAUCUCAUUGCAUGCCCUGGACAUUUAAAUGAGACCCCCAGAAAGGCCAUGUCUUAUUAUCUUUAAAAUAAAACUAAUUUCCCACUAGAGAAAAGCCAUGAUGUUCUUUGAAGGAAGAUAUAACACAAUCCAGGUUCUCAACAUUCUGUCUGCAAAGUCCAACAAACAAACACAAAAUAUUAGAAACAUGAAGAAGAAAGGAAAUGUGCACCAAACUGGAAGAAACAAUCAGUAAAAACAGAACCGGAUAUGACACAGAUGAUGGAAUUAGUAGACAAGGACUUUAAAAUAGCUUUAGCAAUAUGUUCACUUACUUGAAGAAAGAGAAUGAGUGCACAGAUGAGGGAAUAUCAACAGAGAAAUGGAAAUAAUAAAAAAGAACAAGUAGAUAUUCUAGACAUAAAAAGAUAAUAUCUGAAAUUUUAAAAUUUCACUAAAUUGGAUAACAGCAGAUAAGAUGCUGCAGAAUGAAUGCAGAGCAAUGGAAAAGGUAAAAAUAUGGGCACGUUUACAGAUUUUUUUUUCUCAGUACCUCAGUUGGGUUAUUACAACCAUAGUCAAUAGUCAUGAAUUAUGUUGAUAGUUGGCGCCUUUGAUUCAAUAUGAUGAGAAUGGCACUUCACCUCUGUGGUCUUCCUCCCCCAAACCUAUAACCCCAGUCUGACCUUGAGAGAGACAGACAAAUCUCAACUGGCAUUUCUUACAGAAUACCUAGUACUCUCAGACUUGCUAAGACAACAAGGAGGAAAAAAACCCAAAAGAAGGAAAGUCUGAGAAACCAUCAUAACAAAGAGGAAUCUGUGGAGACAUGACAGCUAAAUACAAUGUGGAGUCAUGGGGUGGAAUUCUGGAACAGAAAAAGAACAUUGGGUAAAAACUAGAGAAAUCUGAAUAAAGAAUAGGCUUUAGUUAAAAAUAAUGUUAAUUAAUUGUAACAAAUGUACCAUAUCAGUAUAAAAUGUUAAUAGUAAGGGAAACUGGGUUUAGGAUGUAUGCAAACUCCUAUGUUUGCAAUUUUUCUGUAAAUCUAUAACUUUUAAAAUAAAGAGUUUAAGAAAAUAAACUAACAAUAACAAGUGCUGUCAAACAUGGAGCAAAUGGAAUUCUCACUCAUUGCUGGUAGGAAUAUAAAAUGAGAUAGUUCAGAAAACAGUUUGAAAGUUUCUUGCAAAGUUAUACAUGUGUUUAUCUUUAUCAUGUAAUUGUGUAAUCCACCAGUGUCACUCUUGCAUCUUUAGCCAAGAGAAAUGAAAACAUAUGUCCUCAAAAAGACUUGUUUAGAGAGGCUGUAUUCAGAAUCAUCACAAACUGGAAACAACCAAAAUGUCCAUCCACUGCUGCAUAAAUAAAGUCUGUACAUUCAUACAAUGGAAUACAAUUAAGCAAUGAAAAAAAAUUAUAUCAUACAAAACAUGGAGGAAUCUCAAAAGGACUAUGCCAUGUAAAAGGAGUCAGAAACAAAAGAGAUCAUACAGUAUCAUUUUAUGUAUAGGCAAUUCUAGAACAAAUAAAGCUAAUCUUAGGUAGAAGAUAUUAGAGCAAUGGUUGGAUUUUGAGCUCCAAUAUCUGAGGAUGGGAAUUAUUAGGAAGAAGGAGGAGAGAUUUCUUGAAGUGAGAGAAAUGUUUUGUAUCAUGGUAAAGGUGUGAGUUACAUGGAUAAAUGCACUUGUCAAAACAUAUCAGGAUGCAUACUUAAAUCUAUUAAUUUCAAAGGACUAUGAGAAUAUCUCAGUCUUUAAAGAGAAGGUCAAAUUGCUGAAUGCUGGGAUUCUCAUUUAAUGAUUGCAGGCAUAGGCUUUGGGAUUUUUAAGUCAGAGUCUGGUAUCAGUGAAAUCUUACAGAGUCACAUCCUAAGUGGAUUAGGUUCAAAAUUCAACACAUACUAGGAAAUCUGCUUAUGUUCAAAACACUUUGAAAACCCUUCAGGACUAUGUACACAAUGUCAUGUGAUGUCAAACAAUAGUUCUAUGCACACUAGAAAUUCAGGACCACUGAAAUAGACUAAAGAGAGAAACAAGUCAUUCUCCCUGCAAAUAUCUGGGCAUAUUCUGUUUUUAAAAUCACUAGCAAGUCCCUAGUGGGGAUUAGCAGGGGUGAAGGAUUCCAAAGUUUCUCCUUACUUGCAAGGUUCUCUCUAUUAUAUUUAGAACAUUGAGUCUCUAUGUGGUUGGUGUUAGUUCUGUGCAUUAAUAUUUCUGAUUAUUUUCCAUCUGAGCAUACAAUAGGAUUGUAUGUCCCUGUUCUGGCCAGUGAAAUGGUAAGUGACAUUCAUUACUGCUAGGCAGAAGCAUUAAAGUGCUACAAAGGAUUCCUCAUCAUCUUUUCUCUCUACUGCAAUUACCAACAAAAUUCCAGAAGAUGAACAUUGAGUUUCUAAGAACUCGUGUGGUCAGAGACUCUAGCAACCUACAAGAGACAUGGAACACGAAUGAGAAGUAAACCUUUGCUGUUAUAAGCCAUUCGUAUUUGGAGUUGUUAUUGCAGCAAAACUCAGCCUAACCUGACUAACUUAAAAACCUUCAUAUGUAUGAAUAUACAUAUGCUUCUUGUUGUGAAGACUUUUAAAAAGUGGAAUUACAUCUGAGAGGCAGAGGAGAGUUCUAAAGCAAGCUGGCAAGUUAGAUGAGGAUGAUGCAACCUCACUGUAAUUAUACCCUACCUUGCCUAUUUCCAAGCAGAAUCUGUGGCAGCUUAGCAAAUCCAAAUACACACUGGCACACACAGUAACUAAAAUAACAAUGGGAGGGAUAUGAAUCCACUCAAGGAAAAUGGGAAAAGGGUUGUACCUAAAAGUUUUGCCAAAAGCCACGAAUGAAAGAUUGAAUCAUGGAUCGGGGAAGACAUUUAGGUAGUAAAAGAAAUUUUUGGUACCAAAAGGCUUCAGAUGAGAAGACUGGGAGAGAGGAGACGAAUGUUUAUGCAGUGCCUUGUGUGUACCUUAAACUGUGUUAUAUACAUUGAAAAUCUAAUGUCUUUUUCAUUCUCAUUAAAACUCAGUGAAGUAGAAACAGGCUCAGAGAAACAGAAUAAGCUCUCUAAAGUCACAGUGGAAGAGCAAGGAUUCAGAUCCAUUGGUGCUCAUCUUGGAGUGACAGGACGCUGAGUUUGGCAGGAUGCACUCACCACCAUUUGCUUCAGGCGUGGCUGCAAUUUAACAUGGCAACAAGCUAGCACUGAAGUCCUAAGAGUUCAGAUGUAAAGGUUUGAUGGAGAGGCCCAAGGUAUUCAGAAGGUCUGUCCCACGCAGAAUAGACUUCCUGUUCUGUCCCAAGGGUCCAGGGCUCCUUGGUAGUGUCCUUCUUUCUUGUCCUUGCAUUCCAGGCCCAGAUGCAAACAGCUGUGUGCUUCCUCCACCCUGUGGUGACUCAUACUGGGACAAAAAAGCUACUUCUUUGCUUGAUUCCCUGUCCCCAAAUCCUAAUCUGGGGGAAGCAGCCUUAAACUCCCUGAACACAAGACCCUGUCUGGGUGGCUGGCGCAUGAAAAGGUGGGGUUGUUCUGAUGCUGUCCCGAGAGAGCGGGGUCCAGAACAAAGAGGAGAUUCAGGCUGGAGAAUAUUUUCUCUCUGGCAAAGCUCCUGUGGCCAUCUGGUAGAGGGGCUGUUAUUCAAACCUCUGGAUCGUGGUCUGUUUGUUUUUUAGGAGUUUGCAGCUGAUUAUGUUCAUCAAAAUCCCUACAACCAACUGUGCUCCCUGGCUUCUUUCACAGGCAAACCUGUGGAGCCAACACAUCCUCUGGACUUGGUUUGCAGGUCUUUUGCAGGGAACCAACACCAUCACUCUUCUCCUAGAAACAAGAGGCUCUAGGCCGGGACAAGGCCUAUCACUUCUGGACAUCUAGACCAGCCACCAAAUGGUCUAGCUGACUCAACCUGGGAAGCUGGGACAAAGAAGGGGAAUCAGGAAAAUCAGAAACUCCUGUGGCCAGGCAAGCUCCAGUGACCAAGGUGUGAUCAUCCCAGCGCUGAAAAGAUCACACCAACCCUGUGUCUCCCACACCAACCGAAGUGUCCCCACUGUGCAAGAAGUUGGGGUGUAAAGACCUCAGAGAGAACUAAGUUGGAGUUCAGAUCCAAACUCCAUUUCUUCUGUAACAUGGCAACUGAGUUUCUGUUCAUUCCUUUGGAGAUUGAGGACAUAACACCUUAUCUCCCUGGGCUGUCGUAUGUUCAUAAUGUUCACAAUAAUGUAUGUGAAAGGCCUGAGACCGUAUCUGUACCUAGCAGAUUCUCAAUAAGUAUUGUUAACUUCUGCCUUCAUUUCUUCAAGUGUGUGACAAAUUGGCCUUUUAUCUGCCCUACCUCUCAGGACAGAGAAGGGUCCAGUGUUUCUCACUGUGGGAACAGAAAAGGGGACACUUUCCUUCUACCACCAGGAGUAUGACCCAUGUCUUCAAAGUAACUGCUAUGGCCAGAGACUGAAAGCUUUUCACCCAGAGAGUAAAAUCCAAAUGAUUUGGUAAGACAUAAGCUUAGUUACUCAAUAGGCCUUCUGGCUGUCAGCCUGUCUUUGGGGUCAGAGUGAUGGACCAGGGCAACUGGGGAGAAUAGGGAAAGAAAUGAGGGUCAUUCUGCACAAAGAAAAAGGCGGCCUUUGCUGUUUGCCAUACCAAUUACAGAAAGCUCCAUAUGGAAGUCAAGCACUCCUUUUAUCCAAGUGUCUGGAUUCCAGGAAUUUCUAACCCAAACAUUAAUUUUUUGAUCUUCUUAUAUUAACUAUUCAGUUCUUUCGCCUUUUGGGAGUGAGGGAAAUGGAGCUUGUUAAAAUGCCCUGCCCCACUCUCUGCUCUCAAUUCUCUUCUUGCAGCUGAGGCUGCCCCAGAUUCUUGACCCUACAUUCUCUCAGGAUAGCUGGAAGACAGCCCAGUGGGCCUGGAAGCUGCUAGGGCAGUGGUGGCAAACCUAUG